AGACGAAUCAUCUGGAAAGAUGAAUCAAAGAAGGUAAUAAUCCUGUAGUCGAAAAUGUUGUCUCUCUUGAGUGGAUCCUGAGUACGACGGAGCACGUGAAAUUCCGUCGGAAUCUGGGAGGACCAUCUCCUAAGGCUAAAUACUCUCUAGUGACCGAUAGUGAACCAGUACCGUGAGGGAAAGGUGAAAAGCACCCCGGAAGGGGAGUGAAAUAGAACCUGAAACCGUGUGCUUACAAGUAGUCAGAGCCCGUUAAUGGGUGAUGGCGUGCCUUUUGUAGAAUGAACCGGCGAGUUACGAUUUGAUGCAAGGUUAAGCAGUAAAUGUGGAGCCGUAGCGAAAGCGAGUCUGAAUAGGGCGUUUAGUAUUUGGUCGUAGACCCGAAACCAGGUGAUCUACCCUUGGUCAGGUUGAAGUUCAGGUAACACUGAAUGGAGGACCGAACCGACUUACGUUGAAAAGUGAGCGGAUGAACUGAGGGUAGCGGAGAAAUUCCAAUCGAACCUGGAGAUAGCUGGUUCUCUCCGAAAUAGCUUUAGGGCUAGCCUCAAGUGAUGAUUAUUGGAGGUAGAGCACUGUUUGGACGAGGGGCCCCUCUCGGGUUACCGAAUUCAGACAAACUCCGAAUGCCAAUUAAUUUAACUUGGGAGUCAGAACAUGGGUGAUAAGGUCCGUGUUCGAAAGGGAAACAGCCCAGACCACCAGCUAAGGUCCCAAAAUAUAUGUUAAGUGGAAAAGGAUGUGGCGUUGCCCAGACAACUAGGAUGUUGGCUUAGAAGCAGCCAUCAUUUAAAGAGUGCGUAAUAGCUCACUAGUCGAGUGACACUGCGCCGAAAAUGUACCGGGGCUAAACAUAUUACCGAAGCUGUGGAUUGUCCUUUGGACAAUGGUAGGAGAGCGUUCUAAGGGCGUUGAAGCAUGAUCGUAAGGACAUGUGGAGCGCUUAGAAGUGAGAAUGCCGGUGUGAGUAGCGAAAGACGGGUGAGAAUCCCGUCCACCGAUUGACUAAGGUUUCCAGAGGAAGGCUCGUCCGCUCUGGGUUAGUCGGGUCCUAAGCUGAGGCCGACAGGCGUAGGCGAUGGAUAACAGGUUGAUAUUCCUGUACCACCUAUAAUCGUUUUAAUCGAUGGGGGGACGCAGUAGGAUAGGCGAAGCGUGCGAUUGGAUUGCACGUCUAA
rnacentral:rRNA from 1 species